rnacentral:rRNA from 1 species
AGUGGGUUUUGCCAGAAGUAGUUAGCCUAACCGCAAGGAGGGCGAUUACCACGGCAGGGUUCAUGACUGGGGUGAAGUCGUAACAAGGUAGCCGUAUCGGAAGGUGCGGCUGGAUCACCUCCUUUC